CCUGUUGAUCCUGCAGGAGAUUGCUGCUAUCGGGAUUCGACUAAGCCAUGCAAGUCGGAGGGUCUCUUCGGAGGCACAGGCAAACUGCUCAGUAACACGUCAAUAAUCUGCCCUUAGAUCUGGGACAACCUUGGGAAACUGAGGCUAAACCUGAUAGACAAGAGAUACUGGAAUGUUCUUUUGUUCAAAGGCAACGUCUAAGGAUGAGUUGGCGGCUGAUUAGGCUGUUGGUGUGGUAAAGGCGCACCAAACCAACGAUCAGUACGGGCCAUGAAAGUGGUAGCCCGGAGAAGAGUACUGAGACACUGACUCUAGCCCUACGGGGUGCAGCAGGCGCGAAACCUCUACAAUGCACGCAAGUGUGAUAGGGGGAUCCCGAGUGCUCAUGCUUUGCAUGGGCUUUUGCCAACGGUAAAUACGUCGGCGAAUAAGUGGUGGGUAAGACUGGUGCCAGCCGCCGCGGUAACACCAGCGCCACGAGUGGGAAUCAUGUAUUUGGCCUAAAGCGUUCGUAGCUGUCUUGUCAGUUCUGAGUGAAAUUGCCCUGCUUAACAGGCCAACGUGCUCAGAAUACUGCAAGACUUGAGACCGGGAGGAGUUAGAAGUAUUCAGGGGGGACUGGUAAAAUGGUAUAAUCCCCUGAGGACUACCUGUGGCGAAGGCGUCUAACUAGAACGGGUCUGACGGUCAGGAACGAAAGCUAGGGGAGCAAUCGGGAUUAGAUACCCCAGUAGUCCUAGCUGUAAACGCUGCGAGCCGGAUGUUGCGCAUUCUUCAUGAUUGCGCAGUGUCGUAACGAAGGUGUUAAGCUCGCCGCCUGGGAAGUACGGUCGCAAGGCUGAAACUUAAAGGAAUUGGCGGGGGAGCACCACAAGGGGUGCGGCGUGCGGUUUAAUUCAACUCAACACGGAAAAUCUCACCAGCAACGACGGCAGGAUGAAAGUCAGAUUGAAUGUCUUACUUGACGAGCCGAGAGGUAGUGCAUGGCCGUCGUCAGCUCGUACCGUGAGGUGUCCUGUUAAAUCAGGCAACGAGCGAGACCUGCAUCCAUGAUUGCCAGCGGAUCCUUUAGGAUGACCGGGCACAUUAUGGGGACUGCCCUGGAAACAGGGAGGAAGGUGCAGGCAACGGUAGGUCUGUAUGCUCCGAAUUUGCUGGGCUACACGCGCGCAACAAUGGUAGAGACAAUGGGAUGCGACUCCGAAAGGAGAAGCUAAGCCUCUAAACCCUAUCUUAGUCCGGAUUGAGGGCUGUAACUCGCCCUCAUGACGUCGGAAUCCCUAGUAAUCGUGUAUCAACAAUGCACGGUGAAUACGUCCCUGCUCCUUGUACACACCGCCCGUCAAGCCAACCGAAUGGAGUUAGGAUGAGGUCUUACUCAUGGUAAUAUCAAAUCCUAGCUUCGUGAGGCGGGUUAAGUCGUCACAAGGUC
rnacentral:rRNA from 1 species